AUUGAACGCUGGCGGCAGGCCUAACACAUGCAAGUCGAGCGGAUGAGAGGAGCUUGCUUCUCGAUUCAGCGGCGGACGGGUGAGUAAUGCCUAGGAAUCUGCCUGGUAGUGGGGGACAACGUUUCGAAAGGAACGCUAAUACCGCAUACGUCCUACGGGAGAAAGCAGGGGACCUUCGGGCCUUGCGCUAUCAGAUGAGCCGAGGUCGGAUUAGCUAGUUGGUGAGGUAAUGGCUCACCAAGGCGACGAUCCGUAACUGGUCUGAGAGGAUGAUCAGUCACACUGGAACUGAGACACGGUCCAGACUCCUACGGGAGGCAGCAGUGGGGAAUAUUGGACAAUGGGCGAAAGCCUGAUCCAGCCAUGCCGCGUGUGUGAAGAAGGUCUUCGGAUUGUAAAGCACUUUAAGUUGGGAGGAAGGGUUGUAGAUUAAUACUCUGCAAUUUUGACGUUACCGACAGAAUAAGCACCGGCUAACUCUGUGCCAGCCGCCGCCGUA
rnacentral:rRNA from 1 species